AGGGCAUACGGGUAGCUGCGCUCUCCUGCUAGAACUUCCAAACAAGCUCUCAAAUACAUUGUUAAAGUGGUGAUUUGAGGGGCGGGGGCGGGGGGGAAGC
rnacentral:sRNA from 1 species